UCUCUCUUUCUCUUAAAAUUUUGUUCCCUAUCAUAACUCGAUCUUCAUCUUUCUCGUUUCGAUCGACGUUUGCAGUUUUGGCUACUUGUUGCAGUACUCAUUCUUUUAAGCAAAAAAACCAGUUUUUAUCUGGUGGAUUUCGAUAAUGAAGAUGAUCAUAUUAUCUCAUGGGUCUUCUCUAAUCCUAUUACCAGGAAUAUUAAUUGGAUUCAGAAACAACCUAAUGGAAACGAUGAGGUAAGUUGACAGUUUUAUUGCAUUAUGUUGUCAUGCUUUCCUUCUGUUUUCACAUGGUGAAAAUACUUCAACUAUCAGUUCAAUCUUGCAAUUUGACAUACUAUAUAUGCUUUUCAAUGCUUUGCAGGCAAGUUUCAGACAGAAAUUGAGAAGAGUUGGGCAACUGAGAUUAUUUCUAGAAUAAACUUGAGGUUGGGAAAUACUGUUCGAUAGUGAACUCUCGAUUCAAGUGCUUGUUUUCUCGUUCUCAACCGGUUAAGCUCUUUGUUGCAUCAUCACCCGACAGAACUUCCCUAGCACACUUUUG